AGUACGGCCCAGGCUCAAAUUUAAGAAGACGUUCCUACAAAAAGGAUUUUACUCGAGUUUGACGCAUUUUAAAAAGGCCAAGGCCACCUCUAUCGGACCUGCGGUCAGCCCCGCCCACAACGCCUUGGUGACCAGGCAAUCAGACACUUCUCGGUUACUCGCGUUGGUUUCGAGAGCACAAGAAUUCGAUUCGGGAAAGUAAGGUUGAUAAAAGGAGACUGGAAGAGUAUGCUGAUGACUGUCCUUAGGGUACGGGCCACAGGUCAAGUCCAUAUACCCAUCGUUGCACCGGCCUUUUGUAUUAGUGACAUUAUGGAGCGCUUUAAUGUUGAUGGCACUAGAAGGACUGAUACAAUGGCCGUUUAUUCCGCCAUUUGUGCCCGCUUUGAAUGAGUUUGGGAUCUGACCUUUGGAAUCCAAGCCGCUGUUGGGUCUCAAGUAAUCACCGGCAUCAGACUCGAUCGAAUUCCCCAAAUAACCCAAUCCAUUUGGUAUACUUGAACCAGACACCGUUACCAUAUCACGGUGUAAGUCGUUUCUACCGUUAUUUUUAGUAUAUGAACUGCGUUUGGAUCCAGAACGAUAGUCUACCCGUGUCGGAAUCAUUUUAUCUCCCUCUAAGCAUGAACUACGCGGCUGAAGACCGCGGUCGUAUCUCAUAUACACAAAGUUCUCCUGC